AGACGGACGUGGCAAGCGUUGCUCGGAAUUACUGGGCUUAAAGGGCGUGUAGGCGGUGAAUUAAGUCGGGUGUGAAAUCCCUCGGCUCAACCGAGGAAUUGCAUUCGAAACUGGUUCACUUGAGUGCGGGAGGGGAGAGUGGAACUCCAGGUGUAGCGGUGAAAUGCGUAGAUAUCUGGAGGAACGCCGGUGGCGAAAGCGACUCUCUAGCCCGCAACUGACGCUGAGGCGCGAAAGCCAGGGUAGCGAACGGGAUUAGAAACCCCAGUAGUCC
rnacentral:rRNA from 1 species